CAGUGGGGACGAAAAGCCGGGGGUKAAUAACCGGCGGUCUUGACGGUACCUCCGRAGGAAGCCCCGGCUAACUCCGUGCCAGCAGCCGCGGUAAUACGGAGGGGGCAAGCGUURUUCGGAAUUAUUGGGCGUAAAGGGCGCGMAGGCGGCUUGGUAAGUCAAAGGUGAAAUCCCUCGGCUCAACCGARGAACUGCCUUUGAAACCGCCUGGCUUGAGKCUGGGAGGGGGUAGCGGAAUUCCCGGUGUAGCGGUGAAAUGCGUARAUAUCGGGAGGAACACCAGUGGCGAAGGCGGCUAUCUGGACCAGUUCUGACGCUGAGGCGCGAAAGCGUGGGGAGCAAACAGGAUUAGAUACCCUGGUAGUCCACGCUGUAAACGAUGGGUACUCGGUGUUGCGGGUAUUGACCCCUGCAGUGC
rnacentral:rRNA from 1 species